UGUAUCCAUCGUAACCCACCAGAUGUAUCCAUCGUAACAAUAUAUUGUAGCACUUCUUUUGAUCUUUUAGUACCUAAAUUUUAUCCGACGAAAUAAAGAUAAUUCAAAAAAUAAAAAAUUAAAAAAAUAUGUUUGUCUGCGAAUUGUAAAAAUUGUCAUCUAAUUUCGAGUUCAUAUUAAUUUCAUUACAUUACAUUAAAAAUAUUAAAAAAAAAACAAAUAAAAAAAUAAAGAAAUGUUAUAAUAAAAUGUUGCUUGUACUACUUUCCUUUUAUGUGCUUUACUGCUUCCGCUUUCGUCUCUUUCCGUGUUUUACUGCUUCCGAUGGCGUCCUUGUUUUCCUGCUUACUCACGUCAUUUCCCCACAUCCAUCCAUUCAUUCAUUUAUUUUUAUUUUUAUUUUGUAUAACAUUAUUAAUAUUACCGAAUACUCAAUCAAAAAGACCAACCCCUCUUUUCCUUAAUUGUAUGAGUUUGCUUGAUCUUGUUGCAAAACCAGUGUAAGAUCCAUAACUUAAAGUUUAUAUAAUGAACACAAUCAUUUCUUGUUUUUGUCUAUAUAUUGAAGCAAAACAUUCAAUCUUAAGAGGAAUUAAUUGAUCAGAAAAGAAAUGAGAAGAUAAAAAUUGGGAGAUUUUCAUUUCUUUCUUUUUCUGUUUCUAAUGUAAACAAUAGAAAUAGAGUAUUACCACACAAAAAACAAACUGACAAGAAGAAAGAUCUACCAUCAUAUUUCUUUCCAUCAACCCAUAACCUUAAACAUACUCAAAACCACUGUAACAACAACCGACAUAAAAGUAGACAAGAGAACUUGAUACAUCCGCACACCACCACGCACCGGAAAAUGGUAUUUUCUCAAACAAAAUGAAAUUUUGUUUUGUUAUAUCUGAAUGGAGUUUUGGUUGAGAUCAUCUUUUGAUGUGCGGAUAGUGUUUUGUUUGAGAUUACUUUGUGUGUUGUAGAGUUAGAACUAUGUUUCUUGUCUGUGCUUUUAAACAUGAUUUGUUUAUCUUGGUAGUCUGAUACACGGUUCUCUAUCGCGUAAUAGUAAUAGAAGUAUGUUGCAUUCUCU
rnacentral:lncRNA from 1 species